rnacentral:rRNA from 1 species
CGGAGGAGCAUGUGGUUUAAUUCGAUGAUACGCGAGGAACCUUACCUGGGCUCGAACGUAAGAUGACUGUAGGUGAAAGCUUACAUCUCUUCGGAGCAUUUUACGAGGUGCUGCAUGGUUGUCGUCAGCUCGUGCCGUGAGGUGUCGGGUUAAGUCCCAUAACGAGCGCAACCCUACCUUUAGUUGCCAUCAGGUAAUGCUGGGGACUCUAAAGGAACUGCCUACGCAAGUAGUGAGGAAGGCGGGGAUGACGUCAAAUCAGCACGGCCCUUACGUCCAGGGCUACACACGUGCUACAAUGGCCGAUACAGAGGGCAGCUACCUGGUGACAGGAUGCAAAUCUCCAAAGUCGGUCUCAGUUCGGAUCGGAGUCUGCAACCCGACUCCGUGAAGUUGGAUUCGCUAGUAAUCGCGCAUCAGCCAUGGCGCGGUGAAUACGUUCCCGGGCCUU